UAUAUUAUGCGGUCUAUCGUCGCGUUUCUGCUAUAGCUUGCGGUCUACCGAUGGCUGUGGAGUAUAACCUCUGUUAUAUUACAGUGUCGGCAAAAAAUAUCUUUACGAAGUGUGGUUUUUGGUGUUCACUAACAAUUUCAGUUCAAGUUUGAUGUUGUAGACCAGAGCCGAUGAUUUUUUAACGUAGUGAUAAAGCUUCUUCUAAAAAAGUAUCUGAUGUGCCACAAGACAAUCUUCAAGCGUUGCCAUUGUAGAAGUUGAUAGGAAAUCAUUGUCGUGUCUGUAGAUACAAAUAUGGCACGAGGUUGGGAAGAACUAUCCAUGAAAAUAGGAAAAGUGAUUCCCCGUCCUACACCAUCGACGAUCCUGCGGGUAUUGAAAAACGUAACGUCAUCAACGAGGUCGCACCAACCGAUGCAUAGUAACUUGUGGAAGUUGUCCCUACACCGUUAGCAUUUCCCGUCCCGGAUGUCCCACCACGGGAUGUUACGCAGGGACACCUCUACUAUGCUUAUCUACAGCCUUUCCAAUGAAGAUGCGGAGAUAGUGUUUACUCUGAGGUCGCUAGCUCAAGCCAGUAUUAUUUUUGUUGUGGCUCUGGCGAUUAUAAUUACCAAUGUCCUCAUUAUUGCAACUUUAAUCAAUUUCAGAGGACCCUCGGAGGUUAUAAAUUAUUACUUGCUUUCCUUAGCCGUAGCCGAUUUACUAUGUGGCCUUCUAGUUGUACCGUUAUCAGUGUAUCCAGCAGUAGUGAACGACUGGGUGUACGGGGAAGUCAUCUGCCGACUGAUAGGCUACGUGGAAGUAACCCUUUGGGCCGUCACUGUGUACACCUUUAUGUGGAUUAGUGUAGAUCGAUAUUUGGCGGUCAGAAAACCGUUGCGGUACGAGACGCUCCAAACGAAAACCAGGUGCCAAUGUUGGAUGGCCUUUACCUGGAUAUCCGCUGCAAUGCUGUGCUGUCCUCCCCUCCUCGGUUUCACGGAGUCCUCGUUCGACCCCGACGCUUACAUCUGCAUGCUCAACUGGGGCAGCAUGGCUGCCUACAGCAUCACCCUCUCCAUCCUCAUCUUAGGCCCCAGCCUGAUCACGAUCGUCUACACCUACACCUACAUAUUCAGCAUGCUACGAAAAAUUAGAAGCGGUUACCCCUUUCACGACAAGGAGUACGCCACUGCACUUUCGGAGAACUUGUCGAAUCCCAGCCACUUGAUGUCGUUCACUUUGGUGGUGACGUUCUGGCUGUCGUGGAUUCCGUAUAUUGGAUUAAAACUGUACGAGUACUUUACUGCUCCGUUGGAAAAUCAACAGGUCCUCCACUUCGGUAUCGUAUGGUUGGGUUUUCUCAACUCCUUCUGGAAAUCUGUGAUCCUGAUCACCAUGAGUCCGCAGUUCAGGCUGGCCCUUAGAAUCUUCUGCAUGACGAUCUGCUGCAGAUAUAAGGGCCGCCUUCAAGCCGAGCUCAUCGGAAUGGACGACGACUGACUACUCCGAUGCUUUCCCGCCCUACACGCAAACUUUCCUAUUACGGGCAUUGCUGUGAGAGACUAUGAAUAUUUUAUAGGUAAAAUAAGAAGAUAUUGGUGCCAAUUUUCGCGACAUGGACAUUUUGAGCGAUGACUUGUUUCGGAAAUAUGUAAAUGUGAUUAUUUUUUAGUAUGAAUAGAUGGACGCGCGUCUUUUAUUGAAUCGUUCAAGUCAAUUAUAAUAGGUGUAGGUUUAACACUAUGCCCCGUUGCUCUAGCGGGACGAAUCGAAUGAUUUUUAACCCCUCUUAAACCGACAACCUUAACGUAAGCCUUCGUCAGAAUUUCCCACUCACUUCAUGCUUGAGGAUGAACUUUGAGAACGCUUUCAAAAAAUCAUGAGAAGCCUUAUUAGGUAUUUUAAAGAGUUAGCUGUUUCGUGUAGCUUUAUUAAAAGAUCUUAGCAAGACGAAUAUUCAGUGCUCAAAGUAAUCAGAACAUUUUGUUUCACAUCAUAAAUAAAAAUGUAUAAAACGUGUAUUAGUAAAGGAACCAAAAAUAACGACACAAUAAUACAAAAGUCUAAUUAAGGUAAUGCGGGUGUUCAAUCAUCUCACUUACAGAAUUCAACAAGCCAUUAAUAUUAAUAUUAUUUGUAAGCUUUGAGAAAAACGAAAAAUCUGCAGAAAAAAGUAAAGAGAACAUCUUGACAAACAGUUGAAAAUAAUAGGAGAAUCGUACAUAAACAAGAAAAUAAGAAAUUUCUACCAAGAAAUAAAAAAAUCCCGAGGAACUGAAAAGAGUACAACAAGUUAUUACUGGAGAAGUAAAGACGGUGUGCUUUUAGGAGAAACAACAGGAAAAUUAAACAGAUGGGUAAAGUAUUUUGAAGAACUAUUGAAUGUAAAUAAACAAGCAGAACCACAGGAAAUAAAACAAAAGCAAAAAGAUAGCACAGACCAAAAACAGGAAGAAGAACUAACACUACAAGAAGUAAAAGAAGCAAUAUUUGAGAAAAAAAAAUAAAAAAAGGGCAAGAGAAAGCGGAAUUUCGGCAGAGAUUUUUAAAACAGGUGGAGAAAAGCUGCAAGAAAAAAUUUUCCGACUAAUAUUAACAGUCUGGCAAAAAGAGGAAAUGCCGCAACAAUGGAACAAUGCACUUAUCUGUCCAAUCUACAAAAAGGUGAUGAAAUAAAUUUCAAAAAUUAUAGAGGAAUAUCGCUAUAUUAGAAGUGUCCUUCAAAAUACUUGCCAAAAUCAUCCGAAAUAGAUUUAAAAAGGAGGUAAACAAGAUCAUUUAAGAAUAUCAAGGAAAAACUCAAUACAUGGUAAUGAAAGGAGGUAUAACGAAAGAGGAUAACUAUAUAAAAAUUAAAGAAGAGGAUGACUCUAAAUUUAAGGAAGUAUCAGAAUUCGAAUACCUGUGAGUGACUGUAACUAAUAUUGGAAGGGAAGGAAAAGAAAUAGAUAAAGGAUUAUUGAAGGGAAGUCGAGCUGUUGAUUCCUAAAACACGGUAUUAAAAGCAAAAAAUGAAUCAAGAAAUGCGAAAAUCAGAAUUAUAUGAAACGAUAGUACGAUCCACAGUGUUGUAUGCGAUUUAAACGUGGGUAAUGAAUCAACAAGAGGAGAAAAUAUACAAUAUGGGAAAGAAAGGUCUGAGAAAUAUUUUUGGAGGUAUACAGAUAGCGGAGAAAACCUGGAGGAGACGAACAAAUGAAGAAGUAAUGAGUAUGUGGGAGACCAAAAAUAAGAGCCAAAAGAGCUAGAUCGCUGGGACAAGUAGAAUCGUGAAACGAAUAUUGAAUGACAGAGAAUUGGAAAAAAGGAGAAGGACACGAGGACGUCCAAGGAGGAGAUGGUUAAAGGCUGCAGUGAGUGAUUUAGUAGAAAUCGGGGCGAAGGACUGGAGAAAGAGUGCAGAGAACCGAAAAUAAUGGAGGAGAAAUAUCAUCCAGAAUUUGGAAGCCGUAAAGCUACAAGGUCUACCUUCGUAGAGUAACAUAUACAAUUAUCGGCAAAACAAAAUGAAGAAACUGGAAAUCUCACCUAAAACUGUAAAAAAUAGAAAAAAAGAAGUAAUUCGCAUUACAAAA
rnacentral:misc_RNA from 1 species